UCGAGGGGCAGCAUGGUCUUAGCUUGCUAAGGCCGAUGGCGACCGGCGCACGGGUGAGUAACACGUAUCCAACCUGCCGUCUACUCUUGGACAGCCUUCUGAAAGGAAGAUUAAUACAAGAUGGCAUCAUGAGUCCGCAUGUUCACAUGAUUAAAGGUAUUCCGGUAGACGAUGGGGAUGCGUUCCAUUAGAUAGUAGGCGGGGUAACGGCCCACCUAGUCUUCGAUGGAUAGGGGUUCUGAGAGGAAGGUCCCCCACAUUGGAACUGAGACACGGCCCAAACUCCUACGGGAGGCAGCAGUGAGGAAUAUUGGUCAAUGGGCGAGAGCCUGAACCAGCCAAGUAGCGUGAAGGAUGACUGCCCUAUGGGUUGUAAACUUCUUUUAUAAAGGAAUAAAGUCGGGUAUGGAUACCCGUUUGCAUGUACUUUAUGAAUAAGGAUCGGCUAACUCCGUGCCAGCAGCCGCGGUAAUACGGAGGAUCCGAGCGUUAUCCGGAUUUAUUGGGUUUAAAGGGAGCGUAGAUGGAUGUUUAAGUCAGUUGUGAAAGUUUGCGGCUCAACCGUAAAAUUGCAGUUGAUACUGGAUAUCUUGAGUGCAGUUGAGGCAGGCGGAAUUCGUGGUGUAGCGGUGAAAUGCUUAGAUAUCACGAAGAACUCCGAUUGCGAAGGCAGCCUGC
rnacentral:rRNA from 1 species